AUUAUUAUAACGCUGAAUCUCAAAGGAGAACGGGGGAACCAUUUUUGGGGUGAAUCCGAUUUAUCGGUAGGGCUAUCCCUUAGCCCGAAUCCGUCAGCUAACCUCGUAAGCGGGAAAGGGAACCAGG
rnacentral:sRNA from 2 species